rnacentral:rRNA from 1 species
CAGACCUCUAAUCGGAAAAGACUACCCGCUGAGUUUAAGCAUAUCACUAAGCGGAGGAGAAGAAACUAACCAGGAUUUCCCUAGUAACGGCGAGCGAACCGGAAAGAGCCCAGCUUGAAAAUCU